rnacentral:rRNA from 1 species
GAUGAACGCUGGCGGCGUGCCUAAUACAUGCAAGUCGAGCGAACGGACGAGAAGCUUGCUUCUCUGAUGUUAGCGGCGGAUGGGUGAGUAACACGUGGAUAACCUACCUAUAAGACUGGGAUAACUUCGGGAAACCGUAGCUAAUACCGGAUCAUAUUUUGAACCGCAUGGUUCAAAAGUGAAAGACGGUCUUGCUGUCACUUAUAGAUGGAUCCGCGCUGCAUUAGCUAGUUGGUAAGGUAACGGCUUACCAAGGCAACGAUGCAUAGCCGACCUGAGAGGGUGAUCGGCCACACUGGAACUGAGACACGGUCCAGACACCUACGGGAGGCAGCAGUAGGGAAUCUUCCGCAAUGGGCGAAAGCCUGACGGAGCAACGCCGCGUGAGUGAUGAAGGUCUUCGGAUCGUAAAACUCUGUUAUUAGGGAAGAACAUAUGUGUAAGUAACUGUGCACAUCUUGACGGUACCUAAUCAGAAAGCCACGGCUAACUACGUG